AAAAAAAAUCAAUAAUAAGUAUAAAACUAAAUUUAAACUAUAUAAAUGAAGGAUUUUAAAGAAUUUAAUGACGAAUCGAUGUAUCCGAAACGUAUUGUGUCGAACACACGUGUCCGUGUCGAUACAUCAUACUGUUCUAAAAAACACUACUAAAAACCACCCGAAACCGGACCCCUGAUACACGCCAAAACGGGUACUUUAAGAAACCCCAUAACCGGUAAUCAAAACUCCCAAGCAGACCCCAACAGAAUGAGAGGCGGAACACACUAGCCCCCGUUUGAUUUAGCCAAAAAAGUUGAUAAAAAUCUAACUCAAAGUCAACAAUUAAAUUUAACGGGACCAACAACUUUAUCAACUUCUCAAUUACACAUUUCAUCAACUUUUACUAAAAUAUACUAAAGAUUAGAUUUUUAGCUAAAUCAAACAGUGGCAGAACUUGUAGAGGAAAAAAAAAAAUUAAAUUAUUAGGCAAAUAGCCAAUGCACAUACAAAUACUGAUUAUUUGCAUAAAAUGGCACAAAGACAAGAAAGAUUAAGUCAAAUCAGCCAGUCAAUCCUGAAAAAUCCCAAAACUCCUGAAAAAUUUCAACCGUAUUAAUAGAAAACGAAAUAAUUGGGGUUCAAGGGUAUAAAAAGAACACAACGCAAAAUCAAAAAUAUAAAGAUCAUUAUCGAAAUGCACAAUAACCGAAAAGUACAAAUCUCAGAGAAUUUUUUUUUUUUUUUCAGAAUUCAAAAGUACGCACUAAAAUGACUGAAUUCACCAAAAUCAAAAUCACACGGCGAAAAGACUAGUUGUUUUUUUUUUUUUAAUUUAAAUACCUUCUAAAUUGUAACCCUGAUUCUCAUUUAUAUAUCGAACUGAAAUAGCACACAGAAACCAAUUAAUUAUCUUGAAAAAGCUAAAAGAUACAGAUAUACAUAUAAAAAUUUACCUUGAACAAGACAGAAGAUUCGUUGGAAGAUCAAAUUUGAUAGCUUUUGAUUUGAAUUCUAGAUAGUCAUAUAUUACCUGUCAAAAGAAAUUUUCAAAGUAGACGCGGUUAAGAAAGCCCUGGACAGAGAAAACAAAAAAGAUAUACAGUGUGUAUAUGUUAUAGAGAGAGAGAGGAGAGAGAGAGAGAGAGAUUUUGCUGGCAGAAGCUGCAAUGGAGACAGGAAUAGCCUGCUAAUCGACUAGACUGAAAUAACGGAGAAGUUCGUCGACAAUACAACAAAAUGUAGGAAUCGGGGAGAAGAAGCCAGAUAGGGACGACGUCGUAUAUGUUUUGGGGUUAGGAAAGAUCCUAGUCCUAUAAAGGGAAUUGCGGAUCUUAAUCAAUGGGUGGAUUUGGAAUCACUUUCACUUGUAGGAUGUUUAAUGGCAAGCAUGAAACUUAC
rnacentral:lncRNA from 1 species